GUGCAGCAGGCGCGAAUUUUCACAAUGGGGGAAACCCUGAUGGAGCGACGCCGCGUGGAGGAUGAAGGCCCUCGGGUCGUAAACUCCUGUCAUGCGGGAACAAGAAAGUGAUAGUACCGCAAGAGGAAGAGACGGCUAACUCUGUGCCAGCAGCCGCGGUAAUACAGAGGUCUCAAGCGUUAUUCGGAUUCAUUGGGCGUAAAGGGUGCGUAGGUGGCGAUGUAAGUCUGGUGUGAAAUCUCGGGGCUUAACCCCGAAACUGCAUUGGAUACUGCGUUGCUUGAGGAUUGUAGAGGAGAGUGGAAUUCACGGUGUAGCAGUGAAACGCGUAGAUAUCGUGAGGAAGACCAGUUGCGAAGGCGACUCUCUGGGCAAUUCCUGACACUGAGGCACGAAGGCCAGGGGAGCAAACGGGAUUAGAUACCCCUGUAGU
rnacentral:rRNA from 1 species